CAGCCGCCGCGGUAAUACCGGCGGCCCGAGUGGCGGUCACUAUUAUUGGGCUUAAAGCGUCCGUAGCCGGGUUGGGAAGUCCUCCGGGAAAUCUGGCCGCUUAACGGCCAGAAUGCCGGAGGAUACUCCCAGCCUAGGGAGCGGGAGAGGCCGAGGGGAUUCCCGGAGUAGGGGUGAAAUCCUAUAAUCCCGGGAGGACCACCUGUGGCGAAGGCGCUCGGCUGGAACGCGUCCGACGGUGAGGGACGAAGGCCAGGGGAGCAAACCGGAUUAGAUACCCGGGUAGUCCUGGCUGUAAACGAUGCGGACUUUGUGUCGGACAAGCUAUGAGCUUGUCCGGUGCCGGAGGGAAACCGUUAAGUCCGCCGCCUGGGGAGUACGGCCGCAAGGCUGAAACUUAAAGGAAUUGGCGGG
rnacentral:rRNA from 1 species